rnacentral:snRNA from 1 species
GGAGGUGGGGGCGAUCUGGCUGCGACAUCUGUCACCGUACUGAUCGCAGGGGUUGAUUCGGCUCAUCCCGCUGGUUAUGCCAUUGUCCCCUUCCUCCCUCACCUCUCCAUGUGCGUCCCUCCCAAAGGUGCACAGUAGGUCGAAGAGGAAGACCUUCCCCAAGUAGAGAAGGACUGGUCUUCCGUCAAGGGUAUAUAAAUAGCUGCGCUCCCCUGCUUGAACCUCCAAACAAGCUCUCAAAAUGUCAAAAUUUUGAGUCUCACUUCGUUAUUUUUGAGAAGCAUGUUACUUACAAAAUUACAAGUAUGCAUUCCAAAAAUGUGAAAAUGUGUUG